rnacentral:rRNA from 1 species
CUGGCUCAGCAUGACCGCUAGCGACAGGCCUAACACAUGCAAGUCGAGGGGCAUCGGGGCGAGGAGCAAUCCUUGCCGCCGGCGACCGGCGCACGGGUGAGUAACGCGUAUGCGACCUGCCCGUUGCAGGGGGAUAAUCGGGAGAAAUCCCGUCUAAUACCGCGUAAUGCCGCGGGGCUGCAUGGCCCUGCGGCCAAAGGAAGCGAUUCCGGCAACGGAUGGGCAUGCGUAACAUUAGCUAGUUGGCGGGGCAACGGCCCACCAAGGCGACGAUGUCUAGGGGUUCUGAGAGGAAGGUCCCCCACACUGGUACUGAAACACGGACCAGACUCCUACGGGAGGCAGCAGUGAGGAAUAUUGGUCAAUGGGCGUGAGCCUGAACCAGCCAAGUCGCGUGAGGGAUGACGGCCCUACGGGUUGUAAACCUCUUUUGUCGGGGAGCAAAUUCCGCCACGCGUGGCGGAGUCGAGAGUACCCGAAGAAAAAGCAUCGGCUAACUCCGUGCCAGCAGCCGCGGUAAUACGGAGGAUGCGAGCGUUAUCCGGAUUUAUUGGGUUUAAAGGGUGCGUAGGCGGACUGUCAAGUCAGCGGUAAAAUACGGGGGCUCAACCUCCGCCCGCCGUUGAAACUGACGGUCUUGAGUGGGCGAGAAGUAUGCGGAAUGCGUGGUGUAGCGGUGAAAUGCAUAGAUAUCACGCAGAACUCCGAUUGCGAAGGCAGCAUACCGGCGCCCAACUGACGCUGAAGCACGAAAGCGUGGGUAUCGAACAGGAUUAGAUACCCUGGUAGUCCACGCAGUAAACGAUGAAUACUAGCUGUCCGGGGCGAAUGAGCCCUGGGUGGCACAGCGAAAGCGUUAAGUAUUCCACCUGGGGAGUACGCCGGCAACGGUGAAACUCAAAGGAAUUGACGGGGGCCCGCACAAGCGGAGGAACAUGUGGUUUAAUUCGAUGAUACGCGAGGAACCUUACCCGGGCUCAAACGACACAGGAACGUACCUGAAAGGGUUCGGCUCUACGGAGCCUGUGUCGAGGUGCUGCAUGGUUGUCGUCAGCUCGUGCCGUGAGGUGUCGGCUUAAGUGCCAUAACGAGCGCAACCCCCAUCGACAGUUGCUAACAGGUCAGGCUGAGGACUCUGUCGAGACUGCCGGCGCAAGCUGCGAGGAAGGCGGGGAUGACGUCAAAUCAGCACGGCCCUUACGUCCGGGGCGACACACGUGUUACAAUGGCAGGUACAGCGGGAAGCCACCUGGCGACAGGGAGCGGAACCCGAAAGCCUGUCUCAGUUCGGAUUGGAGUCUGCAACCCGACUCCAUGAAGCUGGAUUCGCUAGUAAUCGCGCAGCAGCCACGGCGCGGUGAAUACGUUCCCGGGCCUUGUACACACCGCCCGUCAAGCCAUGGAAGCCGGGGGUGCCUGAAGUGCGCUGCCGCGAGGAGCGCCCUAGGGUAAAACCGGUGACUGGGGCUAAGUCGUAACAAGGUA